UACGGAGGGUGCAAGCGUUAAUCGGAAUUACUGGGCGUAAAGCGUGCGCAGGCGGUUUGUUAAGUCCGCUGUGGAAUCCCCGAGCUCAACUUGGGAAUUGCAGUGGAUACUGGCAAGCUGGAGUAUGGUAGAGGAAGGUGGAAUUCCCGGUGUAGCAGUGAAAUGCGUAGAGAUCGGGAGGAACACCAGUGGCGAAGGCGGCCUUCUGGACCAAUACUGACGCUCAUGCACGAAAGCGUGGGGAGCAAACAGG
rnacentral:rRNA from 1 species